rnacentral:tRNA from 1 species
GAGCUAGUGGCGGAAUUGGCAUACGCGCACGCCUUAAGAGCGUGUCCUUAACGGGAUGUGGGUUCGAGUCCCACCUAGCUCA